rnacentral:rRNA from 1 species
CACCAAGAAGUUGAGUCAUUUAAAUUGAUGGUUAAAAGGCAGUUAGGUUAGAUAUUUGGUGAAUUUGAGUUGUUUAAUGUUUUAUAGAGAAGUAAAAUUUAAAUAUAUAAGCAUAAUUUUUUAACAGCUUAUUUGAAACUGAAUCUGCGAAAUUCUUGAGGGAAACUGGGAUUAGGUACCCCAUUAUUCUUGAGAGUAAAUUGUAUGACUACCAGAGUACUAUGAAUGAUUAAAAUUUAAAACUCAAAGGACUUGGCGGUGUCUUAGACCACUUAGGGGAACCUGUCUCGUAAUCGACAGUCCACGUUAUACCUGACCUUUUUUUGUUAUCAGUUUGUAUACCGUUGUCGUCAGGUAACUUUUUAGAAAAAUGAAGUUAGCAAUAUAAAUAAAUUAUUUAAUACGUCAAAUCAAGGUGCAGCUAAUAAAAAGGGGAGGAUGGGUUACAAUUAUUAUAUUUAUAAUUACGGAAGUAGGUAUAGAAGCAUACUACAUAAGGAGGACUUGAAAGUAAAUUAAAGUAGAUAUAUAAUUUGAAUAAGGCUCUGAGACGUGU